rnacentral:rRNA from 1 species
GACGAACGCUGGCGGCGUGCUUAACACAUGCAAGUCGAACGGAAAGGCCCUGCUUUUGUGGGGUGCUCGAGUGGCGAACGGGUGAGUAACACGUGAGUAACCUGCCCUUGACUUUGGGAUAACUUCAGGAAACUGGGGCUAAUACCGGAUAGGAGCUCCUGCUGCAUGGUGGGGGUUGGAAAGUUUCGGCGGUUGGGGAUGGACUCGCGGCUUAUCGACUUGUUGGUGGGGUACUGUCUUACCAAGGCUUUGACGGGUAGCCGGCCUGAGAGGGUGACCGGGCAAGUUGGGAACGGACAAACGCACAGACUCCUGCGGGAGGCAGAAGUGGGGAAUAAUGUGUCAGGGGGCGAAGACGGAAGCAGUCAUGCCGCGUGCGGGAAGACGGACUUCGGGGUGUAAACCGACUUCCCCUGCGAGGGAGUCUGAGUGACCGUAAUGGGUAAAGAAGCAACGGCUAACUACGUG